CUUGCUCCUGAAUUCAGCGGCGGACGGGUGAGUAAUGCCUAGGAAUCUGCCUGGUAGUGGGGGACAACGUUUCGAAAGGAACGCUAAUACCGCAUACGUCCUACGGGAGAAAGCAGGGGACCUUCGGGCCUUGCGCUAUCAGAUGAGCCUAGGUCGGAUUAGCUAGUUGGUGAGGUAAUGGCUCACCAAGGCGACGAUCCGUAACUGGUCUGAGAGGAUGAUCAGUCACACUGGAACUGAGACACGGUCCAGACUCCUACGGGAGGCAGCAGUGGGGAAUAUUGGACAAUGGGCGAAAGCCUGAUCCAGCCAUGCCGCGUGUGUGAAGAAGGUCUUCGGAUUGUAAAGCACUUUAAGUUGGGAGGAAGGGUUGUAGAUUAAUACUCUGCAAUUUUGACGUUACCGACAGAAUAAGCACCGGCUAACUCUGUGCCAGCAGCCGCGGUAAUACAGAGGGUGCAAGCGUUAAUCGGAAUUACUGGGCGUAAAGCGCGCGUAGGUGGUUCGUUAAGUUGGAUGUGAAAUCCCCGGGCUCAACCUGGGAACUGCAUUCAAAACUGUCGAGCUAGAGUAUGGUAGAGGGUGGUGGAAUUUCCUGUGUAGCGGUGAAAUGCGUAUAUAUAGGAAGGAACACCAGUGGCGAAGGCGACCACCUGGACUGAUACUGACACUGAGGUGCGAAAGCGUGGGGAGCAAACAGGAUUANAUACCCUGGUAGUCCACGCCGUAAACGAUGUCAACUAGCCGUUGGGAGCCUUGAGCUCUUAGUGGCGCAGCUAACGCAUUAAGUUGACCGCCU
rnacentral:rRNA from 1 species